AGGACGGUUCGAGUAAGUGAUAUUUCGGAACAGUAUCUAGUUACUGUUCCGAAAUAUCUAGAUACUGUUCCGAAAUAUCACUUACUCGAAC
rnacentral:miRNA from 1 species